GUAGGUGGCAAGCGUUGUCCGGAAUUAUUGGGCGUAAAGCGCGCGCAGGCGGUUCUUUAAGUCUGAUGUGAAAGCCCACGGCUCAACCGUGGAGGGUCAUUGGAAACUGGAGAACUUGAGUACAGAAGAGGAAAGCGGAAUUCCACGUGUAGCGGUGAAAUGCGUAGAGAUGUGGAGGAACACCAGUGGCGAAGGCGGCUUUCUGGUCUGUAACUGACGCUGAGGCGCGAAAGCGUGGGGAGCAAACAGGGAUUAGAUACCCUGGUAGUCCACGCCGUAAACCGAUGAGUGCUAAGUGUUAGGGGGGUUUCCGCCCCCGUUAGCGCUGCAGCUAACGCAUUAAGCACUCCGCCUGGGGAGUACGGCCGCAAGGCUG
rnacentral:rRNA from 1 species